AUUUCAAUGUUUAUUUUUUGGGUAAUAACAUGUAUUCUAGAAUAGAACAAUCCUAGUGCUCGAUUUGUUCUCAAAAUUUUUCCAACUUUCUGUUUGAUGGUGAAAGUUCAGAAGCAAGAACCUGUGCAUAUAUCCUAAUUCUCACACUUAUGCCGUGAAUCAUAUAUAUGGGCUCUAAUACAACCUUUGGAAUGAAGCUCCAUAUAAUAUUAUGAGAUCAACAAAUUAGUGAUAGCCUUGUUGAAUUAGCAUACUUGAUGAAAUUCUUGAUUCUGGUUUGUCCUUUGAAGGCAACUACUCGAACUCGGAUUCUUGAAAAGGCAUGCAUGCCCUUGUGAGUGCAGCAAAUGAUGGAGACAGGAAGUGCUUGGGGGCCUGGACUAGACCCCCUGUUGCUUUGCCUCCUUCCAUGUUUCUUUUGACGCCACAAUUGUGGACAGAAAAAAAAAUGCUAACUAUGAAACAUAUGAAAGUAGCUUGUAGGCUUGCUUGAAAAUUUAGAACCGUCCGAGUAGGCCACAAAAGCAUGUUAUGGUGCUUAUGUGAUGGAUUAUUGUUUGGUGAAUGUGCAUUUUGGUUACUUUACCUGUUAAUUAUUAUGAUGCGGUCUGUUUUUCAUGGAAAUAUUUGUGUUUUGGUGUAGUUGUGGGAAUAUAUGAACUUUAUGCAAUUGAAUUCUUAUGCAUAUUGAAGAGACCUGAAUUAAAUUUCAGUAUUGCUAUUUGAUGGGACCUGUAAUAAAUUUCAGUACUGCUAUAACCCGUCA
rnacentral:misc_RNA from 1 species